AGGUGGGUGGAGAAUUACUGAAGACGAGCAACCACUUUUAGUAAGCCGUUCCCUCCACACGCUUCCACAUAACACCACUUUACUCUUACACUCCACUAAUAACAUGUUUUGAGGCUCAUAUUCUCAAAUACUUCGGGGCUCAAACAUCCACAUUGGACACGGCGUUCGUAGAGGUUGUGUUAGUAUUUCCGAGAUGGUAGUUGGUCUAGUGAGGUUGUGUUAGUAUUUCCGAGAUGGUAGUUGGUCUAGUGAGGUUGUGUUAGUAUAUCCGAGAUGGUAGUUGGUCUAGUGAGGUUGUGUUAGUAUUUCCGAGAUGGUAGUUGGUCUAGUGAGGUUGUGUUAGUAUAUCCGAGAUGGUAGUUGGUCUAGUGAGGUUGUGUUAGUAUAUCCGAGAUGGUAGUUGGUCUAGUGAGGUUGUGUUAGUAUUUCCGAGAUGGUAGUUGGUCUAGUGAGGUUGUGUUAGUAUUUCCGAGAUGGUAGUUGGUCUAGUGAGGUUGUGUUAGUAUUUCCAAGGUGGUAGUUGGUCUAGUGAGGUUGUGUUAGUAUUUCCGAGAUGGUAGUUGGUCUAGUGAGGUUGUGUUAGUAUUUCCGAGA